rfam:Salmo salar isolate Sally breed double haploid chromosome ssa15, whole genome shotgun sequence.
UGGCUCAGUUGGUAGAGCAUGGUGUUUGCCAUGCCUGGGUUGUGGGUUCGAUUCCCAC